rnacentral:ncRNA from 1 species
CGCAAGAGUAGAAGCGUUCAACCGGCCCACAGACAGACAAGUCAUGGCGCAGGUGGGAAAUUGCUCUUGUU